GGCAGUGUAGUGUAGGGGUCUGAACAUUGGGCUAGGACUCCAGGAGACCAGGGUUCAAAUCCCUGCUAGGCCA